rnacentral:rRNA from 1 species
CCCCCUACGGGGCGCAGCAGUGGGGGAUAUUGCACAAUGGGGGGAACCCUGAUGCAGCGACGCCGCGUGGGCGAUGGAGUACUUCGGUAUGUAAAGCCCUAUCAGCAGGGAAGAAAAUGACGGUACCUGACUAAGAAGCCCCGGCUAAAUACGUGCCAGCAGCCGCGGUAAUACGUAUGGGGCAAGCGUUAUCCGGAUUUACUGGGCGUAAAGUGAGCGUAGGCGGCCUGGCAAGCCUGAUGUGAAAUACCGGGGCCCAACCCCGGGGCUGCAUUGGUAACUGCAAGGCUGGAGUGCCGGAGAGG